GACGUAGGGUGCAAGCGUUGUCCGGAAUUACUGGGCGUAAAGAGUUCGUAGGCGGUUUGUCGCGUCGUUUGUGAAAACCAGCAGCUCAACUGCUGGCUUGCAGGCGAUACGGGCAGACUUGAGUACUGCAGGGGAGACUGGAAUUCCUGGUGUAGCGGUGAAAUGCGCAGAUAUCAGGAGGAACACCGGUGGCGAAGGCGGGUCUCUGGGCAGUAACUGACGCUGAGGAACGAAAGCGUGGGUAGCGAACAGG
rnacentral:rRNA from 1 species